CCAAUUUCCCUUUACUUUUCCCCAGUUCAGUUUACCCCGCUUACUUUUCCCUUUACUUCGUCUGUUUUAGAAAUCCCCUAAAAUUUCCCUUUACUUCCAAACCCUGAUUUCAAAAAUCCCUUAUAAUUUCCCCCAAAGAGAUAUCCUCAAAUAGUUUUCCCUGAAGUCCCUUUGAUUUGCUCUGCUAUCAGUAGUUUUCCCAUAACAAUUUUUGAUUUUGCACCCUAAUUGCGUAUACGUCUUCCCCAACUUAAACCCAAUUUCAUUCCCCUAUUUACCCAAUUUCUUUUCUCUCAUUUUCCUUAACUGCGUCUGCGUCUGCGUCUGCCUCUUCUCUCCGCCGCUGCCGCUGGAAUUUCGUGUCCUAUAGGUAUUGUUACUACUUAUAUGGACACUUUAUUUAGUUUUAGUCUCUUUGAAAAUGGAUAAUGCGUGUCAUCUUUGUGUUUAUAUUGACUUUGUUAGGUUGUAUUUUAUUACUUUAUAAGCUUCGAAUUUAUAUUUUUUUUAUGAGUACAAUGUGUCUUACUUGGGUGUUUAGGAAAUGAUGAGAUCUUGAGAAAAGGGUUUUCCAGUUUGUUCACGUUAUGAGAUCUUAUGUUCAUGUUGUUCAUAUACAACAGCUACUGUUGUUGACCAUUUGUAAAAAAAGAAUCAUUUACCCGGUGAUGUAAGAGUAAUGAAUUUUUACUGAAGUGAAAUUGUAUUAAAAUUUAUGCAUAUAAUAGUAUAACUGAAAUAAUGCAGCAAUAUAAAAAUAUGAUCAAAAGCAAAGUAACUCGUAUAAUUAAAUCAGGGCAGGGCAAGAUUCAUAUGGAAGCACACAAACACAAAAGGCUGCAUUACUGAAGCGAUAUGGAGGACUGGGAUUCAUAUGAUUACCUAUUUCUUAAGCAGUGUGAAAUUAGGA
rnacentral:lncRNA from 1 species